GAUGAACGCUGGCGGCGUGCCUAAUACAUGCAAGUCGAGCGAACAGACGAGGAGCUUGCUCCUCUGACGUUAGCGGCGGACGGGUGAGUAACACGUGGAUAACCUACCUAUAAGACUGGGAUAACUUCGGGAAACCGGAGCUAAUACCGGAUAAUAUAUUGAACCGCAUGGUUCAAUAGUGAAAGACGGUUUUGCUGUCACUUAUAGAUGGAUCCGCGCCGCAUUAGCUAGUUGGUAAGGUAACGGCUUACCAAGGCAACGAUGCGUAGCCGACCUGAGAGGGUGAUCGGCCACACUGGAACUGAGACACGGUCCAGACUCCUACGGGAGGCAGCAGUAGGGAAUCUUCCGCAAUGGGCGAAAGCUUGACGGAGCAACGCCGCGUGAGUGAUGAAGGUCUUCGUAUCGUAAAACUCUGUUAUUAGGGAAGAACAAAUGUGUAAGUAACUAUGCACGUCUUGACGGUACCUAAUCAGAAAGCCACGGCUAACUACGUG
rnacentral:rRNA from 1 species